ensembl:lncRNA
CAUUCGGUGCCUGCCGGAUGCCACACGUCCUGCCUAGAGUCACUCUGGCUGGCACACUUCCUUGCUCCCUGGUGUGACCACACUAGUCUCACUCCCAGCAUUCCCUUCCACCCCACCCUGCCAACAUCCCUGCUUGCCACUCAAUGUGAGCACAUAAGAAGGACAAGGCCUUCUGCAAACACCUCAGUCACCAUCUCUGUUGGGAGGAGCAGCAAUGCCCCAUCUCUGGGCAAGUGGAAGAGACUCUCAAGUUUAGCUGUUUAGAAAUGCCAGGCUGGGUAUAGUGGUGCACCUGUAAUCCCAGAAGUUGGGAGGCAGGAAUAUCAGGAGUCUUACGUGUUAUCACUGGCACGACUAACCUGGAAGAAGGAAGCUGGGGGCAGGGCAGAAGCCGCCAGUGACACUGGUCUCUGAGAUCCCGGCUGCAAUGUGCAAGGCAGUAGCAUCUUUCUCAGAGGGUUAGAAGGUUGGGCGUUUAUGGUCAGGCCUAUGGUCCACCCCAGAUACUGGAUUUCACUGCCGUGCUACAGAUGUUGGAACAUACUAUCCACGUCUUUGCUUUGAAUUACUAUUUUAUUACUGUUAAUUUUACAUGAAGUCUCACUAUGGAGCUCAGGCUGGCCGGGAACCUUCUUCUAUAUGCCCUUCCCCCCAGUGUUGGAUUAUAAACCCAGGUUUCUAUUCUUUUUUUCAAGAUUAGUUUUAUUGAUUACUUAUGUAUACGUGUGUAGGUAUGUGCACAUGAGUGCAGGUGCCCAUGGAAGCCAGAUGAGAGCAUCAGAUCCCCUGGAUCUGAAGUUAUGUGUUCAGUGUGGGUGCUGGGAACUGAACUCUGGUCCACUGCAAGAACAGCAGGUGCUCUUAACUCCUGAGCCAUCUUUCCAGUCUUGGAAGGCUACCUUCUCAGAUAGCCAGCUCUCUGAAUAAAGUACAACUUCCUGUCUGCACAUUGCCCUUUUGGUGACAGGCAGUAUGAGGUCUAAUAUCCCGGGUCCAGUCACAUUUUCCUGCUCUAUAGAUGACUAGUAAUUUCCAGCCAAAUGCUAGUCAUCAUUUUACCUACUGGAUGAUCUGGAUUUUGCAGGGUGGGGAGGUCCCUCCUCUGAGGGAUGCUGUGCCUUGUGCUAGAGUGCAGCCAGCAGUUUGGUGCUCACUUUGCUCUCCCUGUAGCUGUGCUCGGUGUUUCAGUGGCAUCCCGUGGUUCUUUUGGGGCUCUUCACUAAGCCCUGGCCUUCCCAGGGCUCACUGGCUGCCCAAACUACUCCCAAAUUAGUUGCACACCAGGUCUUGGGAGCUCUCCCACUCAGAGACCUCCCACAGUUUUCCAGCCGCUUGCUGUUCAGGGCUCAGGGGAGCACCCAGCACACAUAGCUGACCACCUGUGUGUUCCUGUCCCCUCCUUUUUGAGCACAAUUUAAGCAUCUCUGAGCCCUGCCUUGUCAACCCAGCAAGGCAUCAUGUCCCGGCCUCUGUUCGGAGACCACAGGCCUUGUUAAGUGUUAAGUCCUUGUUAAGGACCCAUGAGUCCUACGACUCUUCUCUUGAGCUUCUUGCUUUUUCAUAUUGCUCAAUUUUUAAAAAAGAGCCGAUUCAUGCAUUUUCAGUCUCAAAGUAACCACUUCUUUCCCCACUGCCUUCUUUAUUUUCUUUUUGGAGAUGAUAGGAUCUCUCUCUCUCUCUCUCUCUCUCUCUCUCUCUCUCUCUCUCUGUGUGUGUGUGUGUGUGUGUGUGUGUGUGUGUUUGGGGUAGGGGGGCUGUCUAUGCAGUCCAGGCCAGCCUUGAACUGCCAAUCCCAGAGUGCUGGGACGGGUAUGUGCCAACACUCCAGACUCUACCAGUUCUGUUUUGAUGAGCGUGUGCACUGAUGUGCUCUCUACCAGACUCAAAUGUGGCAAACAUGGCUCUGACAGGUUUUGCCCUUUAGCCUUCUCUCUCCCUUUCUAAAAACAGUUAGAUUAUAUUCCUAAGAUAGCCCCAUGGCUACUGGCUCAUUCCCAAGACUAAACGCCAAAGUCCAGGAUUCAAAAUUCAUUAUACAGCUAUACUGGCUAGCCUGUCCAAUCAGGACUUACCAAGUCACCCACCCCAGCACAGACUCUGCCUUUUUCAAUGUAAAAAUCCACUCCUAUAAAAAGCACCUGCUGCUGAAGCUUGCUGUCUGCCUUUGCCCAAUCCAGAGGCAGCCCCCACCCCCGCUUACCCA